UGGGGAAUAUUGGACAAUGGGCGCAAGCCUGAUCCAGCCAUGCCGCGUGAGCGAUGAAGGCCCUAGGGUUGUAAAGCUCUUUCACCGGUGAAGAUAAUGACGGUAACCGGAGAAGAAGCCCCGGCUAACUUCGUGCCAGCAGCCGCGGUAAUACGAAGGGGGCUAGCGUUGUUCGGAUUUACUGGGCGUAAAGCGCACGUAGGCGGACUUUUAAGUCAGGGGUGAAAUCCCGGGGCUCAACCCCGGAACUGCCUUUGAUACUGGAAGUCUUGAGUAUGGUAGAGGUGAGUGUAAUUCCGAGUGUAGAGGUGAAAUUCGUAGAUAUUCGGAGGAACACCAGUGGCGAAGGCGGCUCACUGGACCAUUACUGACGCUGAGGUGCGAAAGCGUGGGGAGCAAACAGG
rnacentral:rRNA from 1 species